rnacentral:rRNA from 1 species
GACGUAGGAGGCGAGCGUUAUCCGGAUUCACUGGGCGUAAAGCGCAUGUAGGCGGUUGCACAAGUCCGUUGUUAAAGCCCCUGGCUCAACUGGGGGAGGACAAUGGAGACUGUGCGACUUGAGGGCAAUAGAGGCACGUGGAACUCCCGGUGUAGCGGUGGAAUGCGUAGAGAUCGGGAAGAACACCAGUGGCGAAGGCGACGUGCUGGGUUGCACCUGACGCUGAGAUGCGAAAGUGUGGGGAGCAAACGGG